rnacentral:rRNA from 1 species
GACGAACGCUGGCGGCGUGCUUAACACAUGCAAGUCGAACGAGACGAAUUAGAAGCUUGCUUUUGACGAGUCGAGUGGCAAACGGGUGAGUAACGCGUAGACAACCUGCCGCAAAGAUGGGGACAACAGUCCGAAAGGACUGCUAAUACCGCAUGAUACAGCGAGGAGGCAUCUCUUUGCUGUCAAAGAUUUAUCGCUGAAAGAUGGGCUCGCGUAUGAUUAGAUAGUUGGUGAGGUAACGGCUCACCAAGUCGACGAUCAUUUAGCCGGACUGAGAGGUUGAACGGCCACAUUGGGACUGAGAACACGGCCCAGACUCCUACGGGAGGCAGCAGUGAGGAAUAUUGGUCAAUGGGCGCAGGCCUGAACCAGCCAAGUCGCGUGAGGGAUGACGGUCUACGGAUUG